rnacentral:lncRNA from 1 species
CCUGGCCUCUCUCGGCGGCAACAAAAACAACCGUGGCCUUUUUCUUUCGCUCGAUCGCCGCCAAAAGUAAUACUGCGCCCGACACCCGCUCGGGUCGACUGGCGAAAUGCUCGGUCUCGCUCGUGCGGUUCGGCGCCGUUGAGUCGGAAAUAAAAUGAAAUUCGUGCCGGCUCGACAAAAGCGGGAAAGACCCUGACGACUAUGAAAAGGUGCGCACAAACAGGCAGCCUCGAUCGGUGCAUCCCCCGACCCUGGGACGAGCGCAGACCCGAAUGCGAGCGGCGUCAAUUCGCAGUCGCGCGCACAUCCGGGUCCGAACCUAAACAUCGGG